UACGGGGGGAGCAAGCGUUGUUCGGAUUUACUGGGCGUAAAGGGCGCGUAGGCGACCACCGCAAGUCAGUUGUGAAAGCUCUGGGCUUAACCCAGAAAGGUCAACUGAUACUGCGGGGCUAGAGUGCAGAAGGGGCAACUGGAAUUCUCGGUGUAGCGGUGAAAUGCGUAGAUAUCGAGAGGAACACCUGCGGCGAAGGCGGGUUGCUGGGCUGACACUGACGCUGAAGUGCGAAAGCUAGGGGAGCGAACAGG
rnacentral:rRNA from 1 species